UACGGAGGAUGCGAGCGUUAUCCGGAUUUAUUGGGUUUAAAGGGUGCGUAGGCGGUCCGUUAGGUCAGCGGUAAAAUUGCGGGGCUCAACCCCGUCGAGCCGUUGAAACUGUCAGACUUGAGUUGGCGAGAAGUACGCGGAAUGCGCGGUGUAGCGGUGAAAUGCAUAGAUAUCGCGCAGAACUCCGAUUGCGAAGGCAGCGUACCGGCGCCACACUGACGCUGAGGCACGAAAGCGUGGGGAUCGAACAGG
rnacentral:rRNA from 1 species